GCCGGGCAUGGUGGUGCAUGCCUGUAAUCCCACCUACUCAGGAGGCUGAGGCAGAAGAAUUGCUUGAACCCAGGAGGCGGAGGUUGCAGUGAGCCAAGACAGCGCCACUGCACUCCAGCCUGGGCAACAAAGUGAGACUCUGUCUCAA
rnacentral:SRP_RNA from 1 species